rnacentral:rRNA from 1 species
UGAAAUGCACGUAGAUCACUCUUUUUUUUGACUCUGCAGUCGUACGAGCGUUCCGCUUGAUGACGUGCUUGCACUGAUUUCAACAAUGAAGCGAGUGGCGAACUGGUGAGUAACACGUGGGAAAUCUGCCCAGAAGCAGGGGAUAACACUUGGAAACAGGUGCUAAUACCGUAUAACAACAAAAUCCGCAUGGAUUUUGUUUGAAAGGUGGCUUCGGCUAUCACUUCUGGAUGAUCCCGCGGCGUAUUAGUUAGUUGGUGAGGUAAAGGCCCACCAAGACGAUGAUACGUAGCCGACCUGAGAGGGUAAUCGGCCACAUUGGGACUGAGACACGGCCCAAACUCCUACGGGAGGCAGCAGUAGGGAAUCUUCCACAAUGGACGAAAGUCUGAUGGAGCAAUGCCGCGUGAGUGAAGAAGGGUUUCGGCUCGUAAAACUCUGUUGUUAAAGAAGAACACC